UACGAGGGAUCCUAGCGUUGUUCGGAAUCAUUGGGCGUAAAGGGCGUGUAGGCGGCCAUGUAAGUCAGUUGUGAAAGCCCCGGGCUCAACCCGGGAAGUGCUUCUGAUACUGCUUGGCUUGAGUAUUGGAUAGGUGAGUGGAAUUCCAGGUGUAGUGGUGAAAUACGUAGAUAUCUGGAGGAACACCGGCGGCGAAGGCGGCUCACUGGCCAUAUACUGACGCUGAAACACGAAAGCGUGGGUAGCAAACAGG
rnacentral:rRNA from 1 species